rnacentral:ncRNA from 1 species
AUAAAUUCGAUGAUCAAGAAAGAGCCUUAAUCGAUAACGAACUAGAGAACGGAGUCACGGCUGGAAGCUCCGACGGGUAAGUUAAGGAAAGACACUUGUGAGAAGAUGUCCUGAACUUUAAGUAGGGAUAUCCGUAGACGGCGUUAACGUUUCAAGUGGUAGUUAUUUGAUAACUACAAUUAAGGUGGUACCGCGUAUAUAACGUCCUUAGA